rnacentral:rRNA from 1 species
UACGUAGGGGGCAAGCGUUAUCCGGAUUUACUGGGUGUAAAGGGGGCGCAGACGGCAAUGCAAGCCAGGAGUGAAAGCCCGGGGCCCAACCCCGGGACUGCUCUUGGAACUGCAUGGCUGGAGUACAGGAGGGGCAGGCGGAAUUCCUAGUGUAGCGGUGAAAUGCGUAGAUAUUAGGAAGAACACCAGUGGCGAAGGCGGCUUUCUGGACUGAAACUGACGCUGAGGCACGAAAGCGUGGGGAGCGAACAGG